rnacentral:rRNA from 1 species
GACAGAGGGUGCAAACGUUGUUCGGAAUUACUGGGCGUAAAGCGCGUGUAGGCGGCCUCGCAAGUCGGAUGUGAAAUCCCGCGGCUCAACCGUGGAAGUGCAUUCGAUACUGCUUGGCUAGAGUCCUGGAGAGGAAGGUGGAAUACUUGAUGUAGAGGUGAAAUUCGUAGAUAUCAAGUGGAACACCGGUGGCGAAGGCGACCUUCUGGACAGUGACUGACGCUGAGACGCGAAAGCGUGGGGAGCAAACAGG